CGUGAGAUGUUCGGUUAAGUCCGGCAACGAGCGCAACCCACACCCCUGGUUGCCAUCAUUUGGUUGGGCACUCUAGGGGAACUGCCGUGAUAAGCGGGAGGAAGGUGUGGAUGACGUCAAGUCCUCAUGGCCCUUACGGGUUGGGCUACACACGUGCUACAAUGGUGGUGACAAUGGGUUAAUCCCUAAAAGCCAUCUCAGUUCGGAUUGGGGUCUGCAACUCGACCCCA
rnacentral:rRNA from 1 species